rnacentral:rRNA from 1 species
CGCAAGCCUGACGGAGCAACGCCCCGUGUGGGAAGAAGGCUCUUGGGCUGUCAACCACUUUUCUCAGGGAAGAAGCCCUGACGGUACCUGAGGAAUCAGCCUCGGCUAACUCCGUGCCAGCAGCCGCGGUAAUACGGAGGAGGCAAGCGUUAUCCGGAAUUAUUGGGCGUAAAGCGUCCGCAGGGGGCACAUCAAGUCUGCUGUUAAAGGCUGGAGCUUAACUCCGGUAGAGCAGUGGAAACUGGUGUGCUAGAGGGCGACAGGGGUAGAGGGAAUUCCCAGUGUAGCGGUGAAAUGCGUAGAGAUUGGGAAGAACACCGGUGGCGAAAGCGCUCUACUGGGUCGCACCUGACCCUCAGGGACGAAAGCUAAGGUAGCG